rnacentral:RNase_P_RNA from 1 species
GAAGCCUGCCAGACCGCCGCUGGUGCAAUUUCCGAAAGGAAGCACUGGAGGAACGUCCGGACUGCACAGGACAGCGUAGGAGGUAAUACCUCUCCACCGUGAGGUGAGGAUCAGAGCAACAGAGACGAGCCGCUUCAGUGCGGGUGAAACGGGCAAUCUCUACGCGCAGCAACACCAAAUAGGCCAGCGUUGACGUGGUUCCGCGGAGCUGGCGGGUAGGUGGCACCGAGCCGGGCAGGCGACUCCCGGCCCAGAUUAAUGGCGGUCACACCGGAUCAUCGCAAGGUGAUCUGGCACACAAAAUCCGGCUUAUCGGCGGGCUUCACAC